rnacentral:misc_RNA from 1 species
UCACAGCUUGCGCCGGCAGUCUCGCCAGAGUCCCCAACUUUACUUGCUGGUAACUGGCGAUGGGGGUUGCGCUCGUUAUGGCACUUAAGCCGACACCUCACGGCACGAGCUGACGACAACCAUGCAGCACCUCGACGGAUGUCCCGUAGGACUGCCUCCUUUCAGAAACAUCCAUCCGUCGUUUGAGCCCGGGUAAGGUUCCUCGCGUAUCAUCGAAUUAAACCACAUGUUCCUCCGCUUGUGCGGGCCCCCGUCAAUUCCUUUGAGUUUCACCGUUGCCGGCGUACUCCCCAGGUGGAAUACUUAACGCUUUCGCUGUACCACCCAGGCAUCAUUCUGCCCGGACAGUUAGUAUUCAUCGUUUACUGCGUGGACUAC